rnacentral:tRNA from 1 species
GGCCGGUUAGCUCAGUUGGUUAUAGAGCGUCGUGCUAAUAACGCGAAUGUCGCGGGUUCUAUCCCCGUACUG